rnacentral:lncRNA from 1 species
CUUGCUUUCUUUCUCUCUCCCCCCCUUCUCUUUCUCUUUAUUCCUACCCUUAUCCUCCUCCCACUCACACCUGUUAUUCUUCUCUAUUUCCUUUCCCCCCACUUCUAUAUCUUUUUAAAUGCUUUUUCUAUCAAAGUCCUUCGAUUUAUUCAUUUAUUUCUCCUUCCUAACUCUCUAUUUUUCGUCAUAAAUCCAUUCGGCUGACCAAACUCUACACCUCAUCCACAAUUCCUCUGCUCCUCAUCACCACCUUACAAUGUCCCCCCUGGUACCCAAAGUAUCAGUUAAUGAAUCAACUUACAACCGACAGAUACCUAAAACUCAUUAAACAGACCUCUAAAACGGAAGUUUUUCAUUUGCAGACAAAAUUAUUCUUAACGGUCGUGCGUUUAUAUAUAUUCUUUCUUCUUUGAUCGUCACAUUUUUUUGGAACAUUUCCCAAGCGAGUCCAGCCAACAACAUUGGCAAAGAGAGACAUAAAGAAAGGAUUCAAAAACCUAGACAACAUCCAAGACGAUGUUUGCAAUUACCAAACACAGCAUGGAUGUGCUGUUAACGUUGUUAAUUUUAGCUAUGAUAUUUCCUGCACCUACAGUAUGUGUAUGUAGCAGAGGAGAAUCUGGUCUUAAAAUUACCAACUGUACAGAACCUGAAGACGAUCUCAGCAUUGCCAAUUUCAACUUCCAUGGUGUUGCGCGACCAUUCAUCGUUGUCAUUGUGGUGAUGAUAGCCACUUUAAGCAAAC